AACUAGUUUUCUCCUUCAAGAAAACUAACGAAGAAAUAUGCAACGAAAAGCGGUCUUCGAGACACAUCUCACAGGUAUAGGAAGACUAUCCCUAGUUAUUAUGAUGGUGUGCCUCAUCUCUACCAGAGCCAAUCCCUUUUGCAAUUACAAGGGCUUAACGAACAUUGCAGAAGCUCAUUUAAAGUUUUGCCUGGACGCCUAUGAGGGAGCUAAUGGGAAUAAUUUUGAUGGUUGGACCAACUUCUCUGUGCUUCAUGUCCCUGAUGAAAGACCUGAGAAAAUGAAAGAGACCGCUACUUGUGGCAUCCAGUUCAUCGCUGCUGCUCUGAACGUCAUACUGAUGGACCAGAUGAAUGACUUGAACCCUAAUAAUGAAACCCUGCGUAAAACUUUCACAAAUGCCAUCAGUGUCAUGGAGGAUCUCAAUCAUUGCAUGAACAAAGUCUUAGGACAUCAUUGUCAACAUCAUACAAAGCCACAGCUACCAAAGCCCGUUUAUGACAGGAAGCAGUGGAGUGUUGGAGUCAUAAAAGCUUCUGAGAAAUUCCUCAAAUGGAUUUUAAAGGAUCAUCUGUACUUUCAAACAAAUAAACUUCAGCACUUGUAGAAGAAAACGAUUCACCUAUCUUCCCUCUCUUUAUCCAGAGCAGAGAUAUACAGAAAUAAAUUAUUGUAUUUAAGAAAUUAUUUAUUGAAAUGUAUUUACAGUGGUACCUCAGCACUCAACCUCAUUAGAACUCGAAUUUCUUACAAGUCGAACCAACCAGUUCGGAAAAAAAAUACCUAGAACUCGAUCUGAAUCUCAGAAGUCGAACCGUGAACGCAGACCUAAGAUAACUUGUACGCGCAGGGAAAUGAGUCCUGCGGCACGUCUCAGCUGAAACAAGGGGUAAUGCUUCAGUUGAAAAUAUCAGGUAAUACACUGUACUUUAUAUCAUUUUCGUAGCCAUUGCACAUUGUUUCAAUACAUUUAUUUUCUUACUUUACAAAUUUGUCACGCCUGGCUCGUACGGUCCUUCUGUGUGCCAUGCCCCCCUCGUUAACCUCAUGUGAAAUCCCAAUGUCAUCAGCUGUUUCUCGUUAUUUCCAAUUAGUCAUGUGUAUUGAAGUCCGUGUUCAAGUAUGUUUCCCCAGUCCUGUCAUUGAAGUCUAUGCCGUGUUGUGCCUUGUUUGCCAGCAGUAAACCCUGUUCUUGGAUUUCCGUCUGCCUGACCCUGAUUCCGCGCUCCCUGCUCGCUUGUCCUCCACGCGGUGUGACAAAAUUAUUGUUUUGAUAAAUUAAAUGUGCUUGGAUAUGUUUAGUAUUAGUUCUUGUUUUAUCCCGUUCAUUUUGUGUAUAAAUGCUAAAAAAAACAUAUUUAUGUGUAAUUUUUUGGGGCUGGGAAUCAAUUAAUUGGUUUUCCAUUAUUUCUUAUGGGGAAAAUUCAAUCAGAACUCCAACUUUUUAGGAUUCAAACCCGAGUUCUUAAUGGAUUAAGAUCAAGUUCUGAGGUACCACUGUAUUUCCUUCCUUGUGGGUGGCCCUGUUGCUUCACACUGUUUCAACUGCCAAUAUGACUGUGUUCAUGCUGGGUUGGCCACGUUUCCUCCUGCAGUUCAGAGACGAGAUCUAUGGAUCGAUGCUAUUUCUUCUUGAUGUCAGUCCUCUGGAUACCUGUGCUCUUCCUCGUACUAGUCUUCCCAUUUUGUCCCCCUGCCACCUUAUUUGUUUCCCUGCUCCUGUUUUGUUCAGUAAAGCCCAUUUUGUUUACUGAC